rnacentral:rRNA from 1 species
CUGCGUGAAGUUGGAAUCGCUAGUAAUCGCGGAUCAGCAUGCCGCGGUGAAUACGUUCCCGGGCCUUGUACACACCGCCCGUCACACCAUGAGAGUCGGGAACACCCGAAGUCCGUAGCCUAACCGCAAGGGGGCGCGGCCGAAGGUGGGUUCGAUAAUUGGGGUGAAGUCGUAACAAGGUAUC